GUGAACCGGGAAGAGCUCAAAUUUGAAAUCUGGCGUGCUCAGUGCGUCCGAGUUGUAAUCUAUAGAGUCGUUUUCCGUGCCGGACUGUGUCCAAGUCCCUUGGAACAGGGUAUCAAAGAGGGUGAUAAUCCCGUACUUGACACAAUGACCGGUGCUCUGUGAUACGUCUUCUACGAGUCGAGUUGUUUGGGAAUGCAGCUCAAAAUGGGUGGUGAGUUCCAUCUAAAGCUAAAUAUUGGCGAGAGACCGAUAGCGAACAAGUACCGUGAGGGAAAGAUGAAAAGCACUUUGGAAAGAGAGUUAAACAGUACGUGAAAUUGUUAAAAGGGAAACGAUUGAAGUCAGUCGUGACUGAGAGGCUCAGCCGGUUCUGCCGGUGUAUUCCCCUCAGUCGGGUCAACAUCAGUUUUGUUCGGUGGAUAAGGGCGGUUGGAAGGUGGCACCCUCGGGUGUGUUAUAGCCAACUGUCGCAUACAUCGGAUGAGACUGAGGAAUGCAGCUCGCCUUUAUGGCCGGGGUUCGCCCACGUUCGAGCUUAGGAUGUUGACAUAAU
rnacentral:rRNA from 1 species